rnacentral:lncRNA from 1 species
GAAGUGAGUCACCCUCAUAUGUGCUUGAAAUGAAUGAACUUUUAGCCCUUUGAAUUUUUCCUAAAGGCAAGAGUGUCAACAACAAAAUGGCACAGAGUAACUAAUUAACAAACUCUGCCACUGUGAUUGCUUAACCACAUUCUGCGACAUCUGGCAUUGUUGAAAAGCUGCUGUGAAACAACGGGAAUUAUUCCCAAAAUAACUGUACAGAUGGGUUUAUGCAGAUAAGGAAGACAGUUCUCUUCAUCUGCCAUUGGGUGGAGAAGUCAUGAGUUGCGCAUGCAACAGGGUGAAGGGAGAAACCAAGCUUUUGAAAAUGUACACCUAUUCUCUACGUUUGCCACUAGGAGGCAAGGUCUCCUGGGGCUACACGUGCACAACCCAACUGAAUUGAGUUCAUGGAAAAAGUCACGCUCAAGUUCGUGAGAAACAAACAUAAAGAGUUGGCCUCAGACUGCAAAUCUUAAGUCUCUCCCAAUUGGUGAAGGAGUAUAUGUGACUGGGCAAGAAAGUAAAGAAAGCUGUAGUGAAGAAAUCUCCCAGGGGCACAGGCAGGGCUCAUAGCUCAGUGGUAGAGCAUCUGUUUUCCGUGCAGAAUGUCCUAGGUUCAAUCCCUGGAAUCUCAAUAUAGGAUUGGGAGAGACACAAUGCUGGAGUACUGCUGUUGCUCAGUAUAGAUACUACUGAAUUAGGCAGUGUUUGAACAAUACAGAGUGAGAGGGACCAAUGUUUUGACUCUGUAUAAGGCAGGUUUCUGUGUUGUUUCAUUGGAAGGGUCAUUGCUCAGUGGUAUAGCAUGUAGAAGAUUCCAGGUUGACUGCUGAGCAUCUCCAGGUAGGGCUAGAGGAGAGACCCCUACCUGAAACCCUGGAGGGAUGCUGCCAGUCAGUGUUGAAAUACUGAGCUGGCUGGACCAAUGGACUGGAUUAAUAUAAGGUAAAUUCCUACCUUCCUAUGGGACUGUUUAAAAAUUUCAGACCAAGGAAGACCUUUUGGAAGACCUUUUAGAAUUCUUCUUGCCUUUUCUGAUAAUGGCAACAGAUACGAAGCAGAUCCCAGCAUUUGUGUGGUGGAAACCUAAGAAUAGCAUCCUUGCCUACAGAUAUCUUAUGUGUAUAAUAGGUUUGAAGAAGGCUGAGGAGACUUGCAAGUAACCUAGAAGGGCUAUAAAUAUGUAAUGCACAAACACAACAGAAUUGCAGCACGAUACCUUGGCUUAUUCCAGAUUCCAAGCAAUGCGGUUUCAGCCACUGCUGCCGUUUGUGGUGGGCUGCAACUAUGCAGAGACAAAGUGGAUUCGACUGCAGAGACGGAGGGCGUCCCUGGCAUGUGCUCUUGCCACUCAGCCUUGUUCCCUCUUCCCCCAUCAUUUGACUGCAUCAGCCUCAAUAUUUAAUAUCCAUAAGCCCCACAAAAGCUUUUGUGAACUUCACAGGGAUUUGCAAUGUAAUGUAAUUUAAGCCACUAAAAUAAGGAGAUGAAUGUUGUCCAUGUGCCAAACACAAUGAAAACCCCACUUGGAUCUAGUGUUAAUUUUGAAGUGAAGUGGCUGUUGAAAUCCAGGCUAGACAUUGCUCAUUUUAUUGGGGGCGGACAAAUUGCCAGUAAGUGAAAAAGACCCUGCUAAAUUAUUUCUCAUUGCAUUUUUAUACACAAGGAAUAGGCCAGGGAUGGGGAACUUGUAGCCCUCCAGAUUUCACUGAACUCCAUCUCCCAUCAGUCCCAGCUAGCAUGGCCAACGGUCAGACAAGACUGGAGUUGUACUCCAGCAACAUCUGGAGGCAAAGGUGCCAACUUGUGAGGGUGAUUGGGGGGGGAUGUCAUAUGUGUGACAUCAGGAUAUUGGGAGGAGCCAGGGUGGAGCUGAACAUGGCGGCCACAAGGCACAAUGCCUGGUGGCCCCUCCUCCUACUUUUGGCACUGCCACUGGUGGGAGGCAGCUUUGACCCUCCUUCCCCUCCAUAGCAGGAGGAGGAAGAGAAGGAGCUGGCCACGGAGGCAUGCCAUGCUCGGCUCCAUGCUUUGGCUUCAUUGUUUCAUGAAUGGGGUAGGGGGCAGCACAUGAGGGGCUGCCCCUGCCCCCAAAAUAUAAGGGGGCCCAAAGGGCUUGGCUCCUGGAAGUUGAUGCCCUUGUCUGGAAGGCCACAGGUUCUCCUUCCCUAUAGUUUAGAGCAGUGGUUCUCAAAGGGUGUGGCCUGCCACACUGGUGUGGCAGGAAGAUUCAAGGACAAUCAAUAUUUGACAGAGGCCGUGCUGAGGAGGAUUGCACUGAGGAGGAAUGGUGGGAGCUGCCCCCUCCCCCUGACCUUGAAUCUUCCCAAGAGCAGGAUUUAGAAUAGAUUUAGAAUAGUGGUUUGAAGAAGGGCAUAGUUCAGAAGACAGAAGCUGGAAAAUACUGGAUGGGGAACCGCUAGGAGAAGAAACACUGGAAGAGAGAGGGUUAACAGAUUCACAGUCUCUGGACAGAAUCCCCAACCCCAAGGACCCGGAGAACUCAGACAGUGUUAGAACAGAAAGCACAGAGGGUACAAACUCAGAUUACAAAACGUAGGAGUAAUGUAGAUUACAUAAUAGGAAUGGAGGGGCAAACCUUAAUUGGGAGCACCACCAGUCUAAGGAGAUGCUUUCUUUUCUCUCUCGCUGUGUUUAUUAAAGAAACUAACUGGUAAGACUUUCCUUUUGUUUGAUCUGCUAUUUACUGCCACGGGGGAGUCAGCCGAUUCCCCGAAGCCCACCAAUAUAAUAUUUUAGGAUGUUCUUAUGUAGUUGCAUUGUUUUAUACUUUCUCAAUGUCACACAAUCAUAUUAUAAAGUCGUUGUGUUCUAUGCUAUAAAUACAAGCACUGCUAGGAGUUGUUUUGUUUCCUUUUUCCAAUGUACUUCUUAUCAAUAAAAAAUUUAGUGUGUUGC